GGAGGAAAUCUAUUUUGGAUUUUUGCUGUCUGGUGGUGUUCUUGUGUCUGCUUGUUGUACUUUGUACGGAUCUUGCCAUCUCUGGUUCCCUGUAUGUGGAUUAGGUGCAUUGUUUGGAAUGGCCUUCGAGGAAUUAGAAAUCAAGUUCAUUUUUUUACCUAUCUGAAGUCUGGUGAAAUUAUGUAGCGUUCUCAUAGGGGUCAUGUUAAUGUGUCGAAGUAUAAUAUAGUUUGUAAAAUUUGGGAAAACAUGUAGCAUGUCUUAGAUGAUAGCGAUCUUGUAACUUUCUUAGCUAAUAUCUGUUGGAUUCUGGCCGGUGUAUGUGGUAAUAGGAGGUUCUUAGUUAUCAAAAAACAGAUUGAAGUAGCUUUCUGGAAAAUGUGUGUCCUGAGUUUUUGUUUUUGUUCAGAAGAAACAUGGUGUGUUGGAAAUCAUAAAUGAGAAUGUGGCAUCAUGGUAAUUCUCAUAAAUGAGAAUUGUGGUACAAUAAUGACAGUCAAUUUGGAGCACUACUUGCUGAAUGUGCUUUAAUAAAGAUUGGUAUGAAAAUUUGGUGUGUAGUUCUUAUGUGUCAUUUUUGCUGCUCCAUUGUACCAUGAAUACCCUGUUUUUUAGUUGUUGGUGCAUUUAAGGAUCAAUAGCUUGGGCUUACGCAUUAAUAAAGAUUGGUAUGAAAAUUUGGUGUGUAGUUCUUAUGUGUCAUUUUUGCUGCUCCAUUGUACCAUGAAUACCCUGUUUUUUAGUUGUUGGUGCAUUUAAGGAUCAAUAGCUUGGGCUUACGCAUGUUCUGUUUUGUUACUUUGAUUCGUUUGCUUUUUGUGUUUCUCAAAAAGCUUCCAAUUAUUACCUUGUCAUAUAAUUACUCUUACCACCAAUUAGUAGGGUUAUCCGGGUUAUCCCCCCUCCCCCAAAAAAAAAAAGGCCCCUGCUGUUUAAUUCAUUUAUCUGAUUUUUUGUCAGAUGCAUUGCUAG
rnacentral:lncRNA from 1 species